GGAGCACGCUCCGGGUGACGCGGGCUCCUCCCGGUGGCCUCGGCGCACGUGUUUGGGUCAAGGCCAGGGCUAGUGACCCUGCCGUAGUAGCUGGGGCGGGUGGAAACGACUGGUUCACCGCGCUGCCGCCGCCCUCCCGCCCGCUCCGGUGGUUGGGCGGAGGAAGCGCGGGACUCCUCCUCCCCGCCGUAUUAACAUGCACCCAGAGGCGGGUGACCGGCCCAGCUUCGCCGCCCCAACCCGCUGCGUCCCGGCGCUCCGUCUCCGCGCCAGCGGCGAGAGCUGCGCUCCAGCCGCCGCGAUCCCGAGGACACGGCCUCUUCGGCACAUCCAACCCCUGGGAGUCGGCAGCCUCAGCGGCGGGAGCGGCCGCAGCCGCCUCGGCUCUUCUACCGAGUCCUUCCCCUCACCCUGCUGAAAGCCUGUCCCAACCACGGAGACACCUCUUUCGUCCUCCUUCCGAGGCUCCUGGGACCGAGGGACAGACGUAGGGAGGUCCGGGUCCCGGACGUCAGGCAGCGGCAAGCACGUGGCGAAUGGUGCUCUGGAGGGCCUCCUGUGAUCACAUCUUCUCUGGGACUCUUUGUUGACAGAAUCAGCAGACAUUACAUUUACUCAGAUGUAAUCCCAGAUUAAUGGAGUUGUUGCAGAGCUGAUAACACGGCUCACUAAGACUGAACAGCUGCCCAUCACAUGCCAAGGGUGAUAACGGGUUAAAAUAACUGCAAAGUUUGGAUCUUCUUCUCUUCUUCUGCCUCAGAAGCAAGAAAAAAUGGAGAAUUGAUAUUCGGAGGUAAAACUGUCUCCUUUUCUUUAUAUAACACAUGCCUACAGCCAUGCUUCCUUCUUUCAUUUUCUUGAUAGAAUGGUAUACUUGCAUAUAAUAUUUCUGGCUUGUAACUCCAGACAUAUUAACAGGCUGCUAAGCCUAAAGACUGUGAUUUUUACCUCCUGUAUUGUCUGUGCGGAUUCUGGAUGAUAUGUGUCUUAUAUGUUUAAUCUUCAUUCUUGUUAAUCUGGAGGGGCCGAUCAGACAAAUGCUAUCUUCAGGACUCUAGACCAAACUGUUGUACUUUAGCUUAAGAAUGGAAUUAUGAAAAUAAAUAGCAUAGUGUCAGUUUUUAUUCUUUCUUAGAGUGUUGUACAAAUGUUAAUUUAUCAGCCCAGAUAUGCUCAACAUAGUCUACGGGCGCUAAGAAGGGCAAGGGACACACUUGAGUCAAUGCUAUGAUCUCCACUCCUUUCAUAAUAUGUUGUUAUGUAGUUUGGGGAAGGAAAAAAGGAUCCUUAUGAUGGAUGGAUCAGGAAUACUACAUAUGUGGAGUCAGACAUAGGGGAUUGAUAUUGCUGAGUACUUUAGAAAACUGGCAUCUCUGUUUAGGUUGCUUGUAUGAUAGAAUGAUGUGGACAUGGUAGUUUAAUGGGGAGCUGAUCCCAUAGAUCAAGAGUUAGAAACCAGGGAGAGUGAAUCAAAAAAAAACAAACAAAAAAAUACUUGGGUAAAUGAGUCCACUGCUGUGGACCAAGGGAACUUGAUUCCUCUAGGACCCCCAAGAGGGCACAGACACCUUCCAGAAUUUCUGCCUGAAGGAUAUGCAGCAAAAAGUUUACCCGCUGGCUUUUGCCCUUGGUUGUGGAUGGCUGCCUAGGGCAUUACAGCCCCACAUUCGGGGCUAUGCUGGCACCACAUGAGGCAGAAAGCAGAAAGUCCCUCAGUUGUCACUGGAGGCAGACACUACAAAGGCCAGGAGAGCCGAGUUGGCACAGAAUGGCCUGUGUAGCUGUCACUAAAAUCAGAGGUGGGCCAAGGUGAUGUGAUACAGUGGGCCAACAUCGUCGCUUAUGGUUCCUUCUACUUUAUUUUAUACCAUAAAAUAAAUUACAUUUUCCUCCUAAAUGAACUGUCUCCAAGAAGAAAAUAUUUUGUGUUUUAAAGACACUAGAGAGAUAUCCACAUGUUAUAGAACCAGAGUGAACUCUGUUUUCAAAACUAACUUCUACACCAGUAAAUUUUCCAUUUCAGACUGAGAAAUGCCUCUUGGUCCAAAUAUACAUUUGAGACAUUAUAGAAUUAGAUUUGAAAUCUGACAAAAAUGUUGGAGUGGCUGGAGAUAAUGUAAUAACGUCUUACUAUGCCUAUACUUACUACUCACUGUAUAUUGUUU